rnacentral:rRNA from 1 species
CACGUAGGGUGCGAGCGUUGUCCGGAAUUAUUGGGCGUAAAGAGCUCGUAGGCGGUGUGUCGCGUCGGCCGUGAAAACCUGCAGCUUAACUGUGGGCGUGCGGUCGAUACGGGCAUCACUGGAGUUCGGCAGGGGAGACUGGAAUUCCUGGUGUAGCGGUGAAAAUGCGCAGAUAUCAGGAGGAAACACCCGGUGGCGAAGGCGGGGUCUCUGGGGCCGAUACUGACGCUGAGGAGCGAAAAGCGUGGGGGAGCGAACAGG